AGGCCAGUUCUGAUCUUAGGAAUU
rnacentral:sRNA from 1 species